rnacentral:rRNA from 1 species
UACGUAGGAGACGAGCGUUGUCCGGAGUUAUUGGGCGUAAAGCGCGCGCAGGCGGCCUCGCGCGCCCGACGUGAAAGCCCCCGGCUUAACCGGGGAGGGUCGUUGGGGACGGCGGGGCUUGAGGGCGGGAGAGGUCGGUGGAAUUCCCGGUGUAGUGGUGAAAUGCGUAGAGAUCGGGAGGAACACCUGUGGCGAAGGCGGCCGACUGGGCCGACCCUGACGCUGAGGCGCGAAGGCGUGGGGAGCGAACGGG